UUUCCUCGGUAUAGCUAGAGCGUGAGAGUGUGACGUAGCUCGGAAGGUGCUCUCUUGGUGGGAUGGCGCAGGAAGAGAAAUAUAUCGGAACGUGCCCAGUAGCGGGGGAUAACUACUCGAAAGAGUGGCUAAUACCGCAUACGCCCUACGGGGGAAAGGGGGGGAUCGCAAGACCUCUCACUAUUGGAGCGGCCGAUAUCGGAUUAGCUAGUUGGUGGGGUAAAGGCUCACCAAGGCAACGAUCCGUAGCUGGUUUGAGAGGACGACCAGCCACACUGGGACUGAGACACGGCCCAGACUCCUACGGGAGGCAGCAGUGGGGAAUUUUGGACAAUGGGGGAAACCCUGAUCCAGCCAUCCCGCGUGUAUGAUGAAGGCCUUCGGGUUGUAAAGUACUUUUGGCAGAGAAGAAAAGGUAUCCCCUAAUACGGGAUACUGCUGACGGUAUCUGCAGAAUAAGCACCGGCUAACUACGUGCCAGCAGCCGCGGUAAUACGUAGGGUGCAAGCGUUAAUCGGAAUUACUGGGCGUAAAGCCGUGUGUAGGCGGUUCGGAAAGAAAGAUGUGAAAUCCCAGGGCUCAACCUUGGAUCUGCAUUUUUUCACUGCCGAGCUAGAGUAUGUCAGAGGGGGGGUAGAAUUCCCACGUGUAGCAGUGAAAUGCCGUAGAUAUGUGCAGGAAUACCGAUUGGCGAAGGCAGCCCCCCUGGGAUAAA
rnacentral:rRNA from 1 species